GGUUUUACUGUCUCCCCACUCUAAUCAGUGAAACUGAUCUUCCCGUGAAGAAGCGGGAAUAUACAUAUAAGACGAGAAGACCCCAUGGAGCUUUAAACCCAACAGCACCUAUUCUUUUUAAAUCCACUUAUUCUUAUAGUAAGUGCUUGCUUGGUUUUAGGUUGGGGUGACCGCGGAGUAAAAAUGAGCCUCCACGAAAAAAGGCAUAAAAGCCUUAUCAAAGAAUCACACUUCUAUGAAUUAGUAAACUAAUUUUUGAUGAUCCGAUAUUCGAUCAACGAACCAAGUUACCCUGGGGAUAACAGCGCAAUCCACCUCAAGAGCUCCUAUCGACAAGUGGG
rnacentral:rRNA from 1 species